CCUACGGGAGGCAGCAGUGGGGAAUAUUGCACAAUGGGGGAAACCCUGAUGCAGCGACGCCGCGUGGGUGACGAAGUAUUUCGGUAUGUAAAGCCCUAUCAGCAGGGAAGAAGAUGACAGUACCUGACUAAGAAGCCCCGGCUAACUACGUGCCAGCAGCCGCGGUAAUACGUAGGGGGCAAGGGUUAUCCGGGUUUACUGGGUGUAAAGGGAGCGUAGGUGGCAUGGCAAGCCAGAAGUGAAAACCCGGGGCUUAACCCCGCGGAUUGCUUUUGGAACUGUCAGGCUGGAGUGCGGGAGGGGCAGGCGGAAUUCCUGGUGUAGCGGUGAAAUGCGUAGAUAUCAGGAGGAACACCGGUGGCGAAGGCGGCCUGCUGGACUGUAACUGACACUGAGGCUCGAAGGCCAGGGGAGCGAAAGGGAUUAGAUACCCCUGUAGUC
rnacentral:rRNA from 1 species